rnacentral:piRNA from 6 species
CUGCUUCUGGGUCGGGGUUUCGUACGUA